AUACAGCUGACCAGUCACAAAUAGGACGAAACGCGCGUCCUCCAU
rnacentral:hammerhead_ribozyme from 1 species